GAUGAACGCUGGCGGCGUGCCUAAUACAUGCAAGUCGAGCGAACAGACUAGGAUUUUGCUCCUCUGACGUUAGCGGCACACGUGUGUGUCACACGUGUAUCAUCUACCUAUAUUACUGGGAUAACUUGGGAAAACGUGAUCUAAUACCGUAUACUAUAUUGAACCGCUUGGUUCAGUUGGAAAAGGCGGUUUUGCUGUCACUUAGACAUGCAUCCUCGCCGCUUGAGCUAGUUGGUAAGGUAACGGCUUACCAAGGCAACGAUGCGUAGCCGACCUGAGAGGGUGAUAGGCCACACUGGAACUGAGAGACGGUCCUGACGCCUACGGGAGGCAGGAGUAGGGAAUCGGCCGCAAUGGGCGAAAGCCUGACGGAGCAACGCCGCGUGAGUGAUGAAGGUAUUCGGAUCGUAAAACUCUGUUAUUAGGGAAGAAAAAAUGUGUAAGUAACUAUGCACGUCUUGACGGUACCUAGUAAGAAAGCCACGGCUAACUACGUG
rnacentral:rRNA from 1 species